GGGUUGUGAGGUUAAGCGACUAAGCGUACACGGUGGAUGCCCUGGCAGUCAGAGGCGAUGAAGGACGUGCUAAUCUGCGAAAAGCGCCGGCGAGGUGAUAUGAACCUUUGACCCGGCGAUGUCCGAAUGGGGAAACCCAGUGCAAUCCGUUGCACUAUCGUUAACUGAAUACAUAGGUUAACGAGGCGAACCGGGGGAACUGAAACAUCUAAGUACCCCGAGGAAAAGAAAUCAACCGAGAUUCCCCCAGUAGCGGCGAGCGAACGGGGAGCAGCCCGGAGUCUGAAUCAGCUUGUGUGUUAGUGGAACGGUCUGGAAAGUCCGACGGUACAGGGUGAUAGUCCCGUACACGAAAGCACACUUGCUGUGAACUCGAAGAGUAGGGCGGGACACGUGGUAUCCUGUCUGAAUAUGGGGGGACCAUCCUCCAAGGCUAAAUACUCCUGACUGACCGAUAGUGAACCAGUACCGUGAGGGAAAGGCGAAAAGAACCCCGGCGAGGGGAGUGAAAAAGAACCUGAAACCGUGUACGUACAAGCAGUGGGAGCCUCUUUAUGGGGUGACUGCGUACCUUUUGUAUAAUGGGUCAGCGACUUAUAUUCUGUAGCAAGGUUAACCGUAUAGGGGAGCCGAAGGGAAACCGAGUCUUAACUGGGCGUUAAGUUGCAGGGUAUAGACCCGAAACCCGGUGAUCUAGCCAUGGGCAGGUUGAAGGUUGGGUAACACUAACUGGAGGACCGAACCGACUAAUGUUGAAAAAUUAGCGGAUGACCUGUGGCUGGGGGUGAAAGGCCAAUCAAACCGGGAGAUAGCUGGUUCUCCCCGAAAGCUAUUUAGGUAGCGCCUCGUGAACUCAUCUUCGGGGGUAGAGCACUGUUUCGGCUAGGGGGCCAUCCCGGCUUACCAACCCGAUGCAAACUACGAAUACCGAAGAAUGUUAUCACGGGAGACACACGGCGGGUGCUAACGUCCGUCGUGAAGAGGGAAACAACCCAGACCGCCAGCUAAGGUCCCAAAGUCAUGGUUAAGUGGGAAACGAUGUGGGAAGGCACAGACAGCCAGGAUGUUGGCUUAGAAGCAGCCAUCAUUUAAAGAAAGCGUAAUAGCUCACUGGUCGAGUCGGCCUGCGCGGAAGAUGUAACGGGGCUAAACCAUGCACCGAAGCUGCGGCAGCGACACUAUGUGUUGUUGGGUAGGGGAGCGUUCUGUAAGCCGUUGAAGGUGUGCUGUGAGGCAUGCUGGAGGUAUCAGAAGUGCGAAUGCUGACAUAAGUAACGAUAAAGCGGGUGAAAAGCCCGCUCGCCGGAAGACCAAGGGUUCCUGUCCAACGUUAAUCGGGGCAGGGUGAGUCGACCCCUAAGGCGAGGCCGAAAGGCGUAGUCGAUGGGAAACAGGUUAAUAUUCCUGUACUUGGUGUUACUGCGAAGGGGGGACGGAGAAGGCUAUGUCAGCCGGGCGACGGUUGUCCCGGUUUAAGCAUGUAGGCGGAGGUUCCAGGUAAAUCCGGUACCUUAUUAACGCUGAGGUGUGAUGACGAGGCACUACGGUGCUGAAGUGAUAAAUGCCCUGCUUCCAGGAAAAGCCUCUAAGCAUCAGGUAACACGAAAUCGUACCCCAAACCGACACAGGUGGUCAGGUAGAGAAUACCAAGGCGCUUGAGAGAACUCGGGUGAAGGAACUAGGCAAAAUGGUGCCGUAACUUCGGGAGAAGGCACGCUGAU
rnacentral:rRNA from 1 species